rnacentral:rRNA from 1 species
UUCAGGCCUAACACAUGCAAGUCGAACGGUAACAGCACUUCGGUGGCUGACGAGUGGCGCACGGGUGCGUAACGCGUAUGCAAUCUGCCUUGUACUGGGGUAUAGCCUUUAGAAAUGAAGAUUAACCCCCCAUGGUAUCAUAUAAUCGCAUGGUUUUAUGAUUAAAGGUUACGGUACAAGAUGAGCAUGCGUCCUAUUAGCUAGAUGGUGCGGUAACGGCGCACCAUGGCGACGAUAGGUAGGGGCCCUGAGAGAGGGAUCCCCCACACUGGUACUGAGACACGGACCAGACUCCUACGGGAGGCAGCAGUGAGGAAUAUUGGACAAUGGGCGGAAGCCUGAUCCAGCCAUGCCGCGUGCAGGAAGACUGCCCUAUGGGUUGUAAACUGCUUUUAUACGGGAAGAAACACCCCCACGUGUGGGGAUUUGACGGUACCGUAAGAAUAAGGAUCGGCUAACUCCGUGCCAGCAGCCGCGGUAAUACGGAGGAUCCGAGCGUUAUCCGGAAUCAUUGGGUUUAAAGGGUCCGUAGGUGGAAGAUUAAGUCAGAGGUGAAAUCCUGCAGCUCAACUGUAGAAUUGCCUUUGAUACUGGUUUUCUUGAAUCGUUGUGAAGUGGUUAGAAUAUGUAGUGUAGCGGUGAAAUGCAUAGAUAUUACAUAGAAUACCGAUUGCGAAGGCAGAUCACUAACAACGUAUUGAC